AAAGGAAUAGACGGGGGCCCGCACAAGCGGAGGAACAUGUGGUUUAAUUCGAUGAUACGCGAGGAACCUUACCUGGAUUUAAAUGGGGAGUGACAGACUUAGAGAUAGGUUUUUCUUCGGACACUCUUCAAGGUGCUGCAUGGUUGUCGUCAGCUCGUGCCGUGAGGUGUCGGGUUAAGUCCCAUAACGAGCGCAACCCACGUUGUUAGUUACCAGCAUGUAAAGAUGGGGACUCUAACAAGACUGCCGGUGUAAACCGCGAGGAAGGUGUGGAUGACGUCAAAUCAGCACGGCCCUUACAUCCAGGGCUACACACGUGUUACAAUGGCCGGUACAGAAGGCAGCUACCCCGCGAGGGGAUGCGAAUCUCAAAAAACCGGUCUCAGUUCGGAUUGGAGUCUGCAACCCGACUCCAUGAAGCUGGAUUCGCUAGUAAUCGCGCAUCAGCCAUGGCGCGGUGAAUACGUUCCCGGGCCUUGUACACACCGCCCGU
rnacentral:rRNA from 1 species